rnacentral:lncRNA from 1 species
AACAUCUGAAUCUUUGGCUAAGACUCAGCACUCUAUAUGGCUCCAAAAGGGAAGCCUGCCAGGAUAGCCUGCGCCGGAUCUUGUCUUGCAAUGCUGAUGCUUUUCUCCACAUUGCUGACAGCAGCCGAGGCUGCACAUACUCAGAGAAACAAGUUCAACUGCUGCUGCCAAGACUGCCUUGCGUUUGCAGGAAAAAGUCCUCACUUGCACUGCUAAACUUCUAAUGCAACAUUUCUGGGAGAAAUGAGUGCAGCUCCUUUUGCUGAGGAACAGAAGCCCAGCUGGCUCUGAAGAGCAGAGCUGUCGAAGGCACUACGUCGAGCUCCCAGCACUAUGCUCCUGGCCACCGGCCACAAAGGAGCAACACCGCUUGGAAGCAAAGCAUCCUCUCAGAGCUCAGCACUCUCAUUCUGCAGCAAGCCGAGGACAGCAACAUGCUCCACAGACAGGGCAGAUGGCAGCGCUGGCUUUCCUUAGAAGAGACGUUCCUCAGGCUCGUCUUGAAACUCACGUGUCAAAAAACACCCCAAUGGCCUGGAGAGACCUCUAGACAACUUGGCUCGGCCAGAAGCUCAGGUGUGUUACUGAGACACCUCUUGCAGAAGGCCACCAGUGAACUCUGGCACCACUCCAGGCUUCCAAGAACCUCCCGCCAGCCUUAUCCUCCAGCAGGCAGAACCCCCCCUGCCUCCUCCCGAUUACGCCUUGUCUUGUGACUGGCAGCCCAAACUGAACUAUGUGUCUAGCUUAUGCAGUGGUCCAUGGAAACACAAAGUCCCUCCCCGUGCAACACACUGGGGGCCAACAUUUUGUGACAGCCACCAUUUCAUGAUGGCCGACAUUUUGGGGUGGGGAGGGAGCGCUCAUCUCACAGUGCUCCCCUGAUUGGCUGCGUGCUGUUCGAGCCACGUGCCCUUCGCGUGCUUGCUGAUUGGUGGCCCGCUGAUUUGGGCUGGGAAGCGCUAAAUGUGAAAAUAUCUAUCUACGAUAUGUGCAGUAUGUGCAAAUCUAGACACAUGUAAGUACAUCUACAAAUAAAUGCAGUUAUGUGUAAAUAUACA